rnacentral:rRNA from 1 species
AGGGGGGCAACUCCCUGAGUACGGCGGCGCACGGGUGAGUAACACGUAGGUAAUCUCCCCUCGAGCCCGGAAUAACCUACCGAAAGGUGGGCUAAUACCGGAUAUGACCACGGAAGUUUCGGCUUCUGCGGUGAAAGAUGGCCUCUAUUUAUAAGCUAUCACUCAAGGAUGAGCCUGCGUGCCAUUAGCUAGUUGGUGGGGUAAUGGCCCACCAAGGCUAUGAUGGCUAGCUGGUCUGAGAGGAUGGCCAGCCACACUGGGACUGAAACACGGCCCAGACUCCUACGGGAGGCAGCAGUGGGGGAUAUUGCGCAAUGGGCGAAAGCCUGACGCAGCGACGCCGCGUGGGUGAUGAAGGCCUUCGGG